CAGAUUUACAGAGCAACAGUUCAGUAGCAUCAAGACAUUUUUAAUUAGCAUUGCACAAGUGCGUAACCGCAAACUUACACAAGUGCACAACUAGAACAAUUACAGAGCUGAGUCUUUGGUGUGAUAAACAACAGCAAGGACCCCCACAUUUCAGUCCAAAAUUGCACUUCGGUGUCGCUGAGGGAAUACAUGGAGUAAAGAAUAGAAGAACAGGGAGCCCUGCAACAGAUGGCAUGGUCCCCACAGAGCCCCCCACUGAUUAUUGAAUCAGUCUGGGAUUACAAGAAGAGACAGAAGUAAUUGAUACAGCCGAAAUAGAUAGAAGAACUGUGGCAAAUUCUCCAAGAAGCUUGGAACAUCCUGUCUGCCAACAACCAAGAAAAACUGUGUCCAGGUGUACCUAGGAGAAUUGGUGCUGUUUUGAAGGCAAAGGUUGUCACACUGAAUAUUGAUUUAGCUUUUUUUAUGUUUACUGGAAUUUGUAUGAUGUUAAUUGAUAAAUUAAAACUAUUUAUGGCAUUAAUUUGAAGACAUCCUCACUAUGCAACAUUUUUCCCAAGUGCCUAAAACCUUUGCACAGUACUGUAUAUAUAUUUUGUUUUCUUUUUUUUUUUUUUAAGUAAAUAUAACUAAUAAAGUUAUUAUUAACCUAUAAUAAAGGCUACAUCUCUGUUUUGGCCUGUACUGGGUUCACUUUUUAAACUGUAUUGCUGUACUGCUACUAUUAUUGUCUCAUUCUUAAUCACUAGCAUUUUAAUUUUCCUCACUUGAAAGAGUCUGCUAAAAUGAAAAAAUGUUAAUUAACCUUUUAUAUGGAAAACAAGGGAAAGAAGUAGUAGUACAUUAUAUUGUCAUUUCUCUCCUAUGUGGUAGGAAUUUUUUUUAAUAUGGAGCCACAGUUCAGAACAUGUAAUGGAAAAAUACUAAACACAAUGUUUGGAAGUCAACACUGUAGCAAUAAAUAUGAACAUUAAAAAUUCUACCAUUGA